GACGAACGCUGGCGGCGUGCUUAACACAUGCAAGUCGAACGGGCCCGCCCCUGUUUUUGGGGGUGGGUUGAGUGGCGAACGGGUGAGUAUCACGUGAGUAACCUGCCCCCUGCUCCUGGAUAACUGCUUGAAAGGGCGGCUAAUACGGGGUGUGCCGGCUGGUCCGCAUGGGCCUGGUCGGGAUAGUUUCAUCUUCGGGUGCUUCGGUGGGGGAUGGGCUCGCGGCCUAUCAGCUUGUUGGGGGGGUGAUGGCCCACCAAGGCGGUGACGGGUAGCCGGCCUGAGAGGGUGGGCGGCCACACUGGGACUGAGACACGGCCCAGACUCCUGCGGGAGGCAGCAGUGGGGGGUAUUGCACAAUGGGCGGAAGCCUGAUGCAGCGACGUCGCGUGAGGGAUGGAGGCCUUCGGGUUGUGAACCUCUUUCUCCGGUGGUGAAGGCCCUGUCCGUUGCGGCGGGGUUGACGGUAGCCGGGGAUGAAGCGCCGGCUAACUACGUG
rnacentral:rRNA from 1 species